CUUCUUGGAACUCGACCAUGCCAGAGCAAAGUCUAAGGGUCAGACAAAGCCAGGCUGAUUUUGCACAGACCAGAGGGCUACCAAGAAGCUCGAAGGUGUCUGGAAGUUGCAGAGGACAGAAGAGAGCCAUAACAGGCAUUCCUUAUGAAACUGUCACAUCUGUUCUAGAAACAUCCAUCGAAGGAGUCACCAGUACUUCUCAGCUCUUCACAGGAAUAUAAGGAGGCCCAAGCCGGUCUAGAACACACUGAUGGAGAUGCUGGAAGGUGGAAAGGCUAGAGGCUCUGCUGGAGGAAGCCUUCUCCUCCCCGCUGGCCAGUCGAGUGUGGGAGCAGAGCUGAGGAGUCAGCUCUCAGAAGGUGAGUGUGAGCACAGGGUGGUAGGACAGAGAGAGAGGAAAGACCUAAGCAGGUCCAUGCUGAGGGGCCAUGGGGAACUUCUGCCUAGCCCCCUUUAAAAUACAUUCUUACCAGGUACACUCAAGUGACCCGAGAAGGUAACAGAGAGCAGGUCCUAUGCACUCAACUGUCCUUGGCACACGCCCAUCCCUUCCUAGACUCUCAUGUGGAAGCAGCUUUCUAGCCCCUGAUGAUGUUCCAGAACAGGGAACAGGAGAUUAUUGGAGGUGCAACCCCAGCUGUGUGUGCUGUGGCCGGGGAAGAGGGGAGGCUCUUGGCAGGUUCUGAAGUGGUUUGGAGUGAUAGGAAGCAGGCUCACAGAUACCUAGGACUCGGCUAGCUAGCUGGCUUCCUCCGGGGUCUGUGGGCUGCUGAUCUGUCACUCCCUAGAAUGCUCACUGUUGAGGAGAGGGCUGAAUUGAAGGAAAGACCAGGCUCCCACACAAUAGGGCCUGGGUGUGGAAUCAGGACACCCAGAUACACGAGCUCCCAGAAUCUCAGGAAACCAGGGGAGAUAAGAGGGGAGGGGCUGCAGGAAACUCCACCCACCCUCAGCCAGGGAGAUGUUCUAGAGCACCCACUGCUCCUGCACAGAGCGGCUGAGCAAGGAGGGAGGGUGAACAUCACAAGACUUAGUUUCCACAUCUGGCCCCAGGACCUCCAAGACUGCACCCAGAGCUUGUCAUGGUGGCCUCCAGUCUCAUUCUCAGAAGUGGUCACUGCGGGGAACAAAGGCCAGCAUCAGGGCCCAUCAUCUGGCCCAUUCUCGUUUUCUAAACUAGAGACCAAUGCCUGGUAUGGGGAGGACCAAACAACAGAAGGCAUUUCUCCACACGGCCCAGGAGCCACAAGAGGGCAGGUCAGAGGUGUCAAAGGGAAAAUGGCCGCCAUUUGGGAGGGGACUUUGGGGAUGAUGGGGUCAGACUCUUCUUCUCCAGGAUUCAGCCAGCACGCAUGAGGUCCAGGCAGCCUCAUUCAUGGAAACAUCUCAUAUGGUCACGUCUGCAUCUCAGGCCCUCCGUCUAGCUCUCAGGAGCAAGACUGAGCACUUCUAGUCGCCUGCUCUAUUCUAAGCACUCUGCAGCGUCUACACAUCAGAGGAGCGAUAUGUGCUCCCAUUGUUGCCAUCCCAGGAGUUGAGAAACUGAGGCACAGUUAUUUCACUUGUUUGCUUUUUUGUUUGCACUGUGAGGCAGUCUCUUGCAGUGUGUAUUCACCUUGUAUUUGCUUUGUAGCCAAGGACAACCUUGAAUUUUUGAUUCUCCUGACUCCAUCUCCCAAAUGUUGGGAUGACAGGUUUAUGUAGUAGUGGGAGUUGAAUUUAAGACUUUAAUAUCAAUUGAGCUACAGCCCCAAA